GGGGGAACCCUGAUCCAGCCAUGCCGCGUGUGUGAAGAAGGCCUUUUGGUUGUAAAGCACUUUAAGCGAGGAGGAGGCUACUCUAGUUAAUACCUAGGGAUAGUGGACGUUACUCGCAGAAUAAGCACCGGCUAACUCUGUGCCAGCAGCCGCGGUAAUACAGAGGGCGCGAGCGUUAAUCGGAUUUACUGGGCGUAAAGCGUGCGUAGGCGGCUUUUUAAGUCGGAUGUGAAAUCCCUGAGCUUAACUUAGGAAUUGCAUUCGAUACUGGGAAGCUAGAGUAUGGGAGAGGAUGGUAGAAUUCCAGGUGUAGCGGUGAAAUGCGUAGAGAUCUGGAGGAAUACCGAUGGCGAAGGCAGCCAUCUGGCCUAAUACUGACGCUGAGGUACGAAAGCAUGGGGAGCAAACAGGAUUAGAUACCCUGGUAGUCCAUGCCGUAAACGAUGUCUACUAGCCGUUGGGGCCUUUGAGGCUUUAGUGGCGCAGCUAACGCGAUAAGUAGACCGCCUGGGGAGU
rnacentral:rRNA from 1 species